ensembl:lncRNA
CUUGACUGUCGGUAAAACAAUUUAUUGUUAACACUCAAAAUAAGUCAGUUUGGUGUGGUUAAUAUAUCUUAACAAUGCUUAGCAUCAGCUUGUAAUGUUGUCACGUCCUGUUGUUUUAUCUAGCUAACUUUAAAAGUAACGUUAACUAAUGUUGAUUUCAGAAAAAAAGCUGUGAUCGUCCGUGCAUUACCUUCCUCGUCGUGCACAUAUCCCUCGAUCCAGUUGCUGUAUCCUUUCAGCAAAACAGCCCGGGGAAUCAUGCAGUCCUUAUUGGCCCAUUUUUCGACAUGGUCCACUGUUAUUUCGGGAAGACAUGAAAGAUUUGAUGUCCACACAGGUAUCGCCGUGAUGACAGACGCCCGCUGCUGCGCUCCGUCAAUGAACUUCCGGUUUAGAGUCUACCCCCUAGCCUCGUUUUGGAUUUCAAGAUGGAGGCGCGGUGAAUAAGAGAGUCCUGAACUUCGAUGCUGAUUCCCAGCCUCAUGAGUUCAUUUUCAUUGAUGAAGCUAGAUUCAGUCUAGCUAAAACCAAUUGUCGGGACAAAGAGCCAUUGUGAAUGUCCCUGAGCAGCAUGAGGGAAAUAUUACUCUGUGUGCCGCCAUUAGUCUGCAAGGAGUUCUCCAUCACCAUGCCACACUACACUUGGUGUUGGAAAGUAUAUGACCGCCAAACAACAUGCCCACCUGCCUCUUCUGCAAACAAUGGAAGAGAUAUGCAGAGACAUUGAGGAGGACAUGAGGUCUUGGCCCACACCUGAGGGUUACCAGGCUUGAAAGACCCGUUGCUGUCCCUGUCCAAAGUCGUCCUGGUUGUGUUGCAGAUCAAGACAAUACCUGAUGAUUUCAGCUGCCACUGUGCUGACACCUCCCCCCUCCCCCGUUUUACCUUUCCUUGUCCAUCUGGUCAUGCUUCCAACCUGGACUAAGUUUAAUUAGACUUUAGACUCAGCCCUUAUGUAUUUAUUAAUUAUUACAAUUGUAAUCUUAAUAUGUUCACCCGGCACAGCCAGAAGAGGACUGGUCACCCCUCUGAGCCUGGAUCCUCUCUAGGUUUCUUCCAAAAUGUUGACAUUCUUAGGGAGUAUUUCCUAGCCACUGAAAUUCAACACUACUGUUGUUUGCUCCUUGGGGUUUUUAGGCCAGGUGUUUUGUAAAAGGGCAUUAUAAAUAAAUUUGAUUGAUUGAUAAUAAAUGGGCUGGCCAUUCUGACAUAAAGAGUUC